GAAAUGCGAUAAGUAGUGUGAAUUGCAGAAUUCAGUGAAUCAUCGAAUCUUUGAACGCACAUUGCGCCCUUUGGUAUUCCAAAGGGCAUGCCUGUUCGAGCGUCAUUUGUACCCUCAAGCUUUGCUUGGUGUUGGGCGUCUUGUCUCUAGCUUUGCUGGAGACUCGCCUUAAAGUAAUUGGCAGCCGGCCUACUGGUUUCGGAGCGCAGCACAAGACGCACUCUCUAUCAGCAAAGGUCUAGCAUCCAUUAAGCCUUUUUUCAACUUUUGACCUCGGAUCAGGUAGGGAUACCCGCUGAACUUAAGC
rnacentral:misc_RNA from 1 species